rfam:Nematostella vectensis strain CH2 x CH6 NEMVEscaffold_8263_Cont54324, whole genome shotgun sequence.
ACCAGGAUGGCCGAGUGGUUAAGGCGUUGGACUUAAGUUCAAAUGUACGGAUGUACGCGUGGGUUCGAACCCCACUCCUGGUA